rnacentral:lncRNA from 1 species
AAUUCUGUCUGGACACAAAGGAAAAAUCGGAAUUGGCAGAUACUCUCUCGGUUACUCCCUGGUUGCAGUUAAUGAGCAGCCUGUUCGCCUGCAGCCUUUAGACAGGGAACAAGGGGCACAGCUUUUCCCACUUUAUUGGUUACUGACUGGGAAAGAAGGAUUCCACUAGCACUGCUUGGCUAUCAAAGCUGGGCAAUGUGAUCCUCUAAGCCACAUGUUUAGCCCCUUGACUGGGCAAACUUCAAACAAGUGACUGAGCUCCCUUAGCUGCCACUGAUUGGACCAGGAUGGACAACAAAUGUAGGAGGAGUUCAUCUGGAUCUAGCCUGAGCCAGUCAGAUAUCCCCUUUGAAUCCAUGCCUAUAGAAAUACAAAAAAAUGGAAGCCAGAGGAUGAUGGAUCCUUGAAGUAAUAAGUCAGCUCUGUGGAAGUUUGAGUGACUCAUUGCAGAGAGGAAUUGAUGAAGUCAACAGCUGCUGGAAAAACUUCUUUUUCCUUAAUAGCUGUAUCAACAUGUGGUUGCUAUUAUUCAAAGUGGAUGAAAUAAUUCUGCAAGCCAGUGGGAACAGGAAGCUUCAUGAAGAGGAGAAAGGCUUAGGGCUCAGAAACCGCACAGAGCAGGAGGAUAGAUGAAUGUAAGGAACAGAGCUUUGAGGACAGACACCCCUGGAUUAGACAAUAGCUCCAAAACUUAUUAAUGAUGGUGAAUGGGUGACUUUCUAAAACCCUUUAAACCUUAUUUGUAAAAUGGGACCAUCAAUAUCUAUUUUGAAAUCUUGUAUAAAUUUGCAAUAAUGUCUGUAAAGUAUCUGACAGGAGCUCAGAAAUGACACAAUUCUUUAAAUCCACUCACACCCAACUUUUAAACAAAAAGUAGCAGUAUAUCCUACACACGAUUUUUAAAUUUUACUAUUUAAGUUAACAUCAUGCUAUGAACAUAUUUCCAUGUCAUUAAAUAUUCUAUUCCAUCCAAUAUUUAAAAGCUAAUAGAAGUCUGUUAAAUGCAUAUGCCAUAAUUUAUUUAACCAAUUCGGUUGUUUUAAUAUUUAUGUUGUUUCCAAUAUAUUAUGCUAUUGACAAUAAAAUGAUGAACAUUUAUGAUGAUGAA